CUACGGGCUGCUCCAGUGGGGAAUAUUGCACAAUGGAGGAAACUCUGAUGCAGCAACGCCGCGUGGAGGAUGACACUUUUCGGAGCGUAAACUCCUUUUAUAUUGGAAGAAGAUGACGGUACUAUAUGAAUAAGCGCCGGCUAACUCCGUGCCAGCAGCCGCGGUAAUACGGAGGGCGCAAGCGUUACUCGGAAUCACUGGGCGUAAAGGGCAUGUAGGCGGAUUAAAAAGUCAGAAGUGAAAUCCUAUAGCUUAACUAUAGAACUGCUUCUGAAACUCUUAAUCUAGAAUAUGGGAGAGGUAGAUGGAAUUUCUGGUGUAGGGGUAAUAUCCGUAGAGAUCAGAAGGAAUACCGAUUGCGAAGGCGAUCUACUAGAACAUUAUUGACGCUGAGACGCGAAAGCGUGGGGAGCAAACAGGAUUAGAUACCCGCGUAGUC
rnacentral:rRNA from 1 species